rnacentral:rRNA from 1 species
UACGGGGGGGGCAAGCGUUGUUCGGAAUUACUGGGCGGAAAGGGCUUGUAGGUGGCCAACUAAGUCAGACGUGAAAUCCCUCAGCUUAACUGGGGAACUGCGUCUGAUACUGGAUGGCUUGAGUUUGGGAGAGGGACGCGGAAUUCCAGGUGUAGCGGUGAAAUGCGCAGAUAUCGGGAGGAACACCAAUGGCGAAGGCAGCUCGCUGGGACGUGACUGACGCUGAGACGCGAAAGCGUGGGGAGCAAACAGG